rnacentral:tRNA from 1 species
UCUCCAGUGGCGCAGUUGGUUAGCGCAUGGUACUUAUAAGACAGUAAUGAAAAACGCUAGCAAAAAAGGUAGCAAUGCCGAGGUCGCGAGUUCGAGCCUCGCCUGGAGAA